GCUAGCAUUCGUUUUAAAGUUUCGUUCCGACUUAAUACUGACAUGUAUUAUUAUAAUUGGAAUAAUUUUCAUUGCCUUUUAGAAAUCGAAGAGUACGCUACUCUUCCAGUUUUUUUCACGCAUUUGUCUCUCGCACGCCGUAUUCAAUUUUCUAACGAGCAAUAUCAAUAUAACACUGCACAAACACUUCGUGAUAUGCCUUGCAAGAAGAUCGUUGGUAAAUACACACGUUUUCCCGAAAACGGCCUUUAUGUCAAUUUGACCUAUGGGUACUGCGCGGAUAUCCUUGACGAUCUCAUUUUAACGUUGGAGUUAGGCGAGAGAUACAAAGCCGUUUUGUCACAAACUAACCCAUGGGAAACGUAUCUGUCCAAUAUCAGAAGAGCUUUUGACAUUCCUAAAAAAAACAUGCCUGACGACUUUCAUAAAUACGACAUUUACAAUCGGUCUUCUUAUGAAAACAUUAAUAAUUUAAGGUGGAAAUAAGUGCAAAUAUUAUUUUCUAAUGGGGUUUCUUAACGAUUCUUCCACAUUUAUUUUCGAAUUGUUCUUUCUUCUUAUUUAAAAUUUAGUUUCUCUCUAAUUUGACUGUGUGACAAUGUUAAAAUGUUUUUUUAUUUUCUUUUAUCUCUUUUGUUUCUGUUUUUUAAUAAACUAUUUCUAGCCCUGGCAGGGAGGUAAUUGUAGAAUUAAGUUUGGGUUAGGUAUGGAGAAAGUGAUUUACACGAAUGAGAAAUUAACAAAGCAUGUAAUGUAAUUCACAAUCGAUUGUGGGUAUCUAGUUUAACCGAAAGACUGUGUCGUUGUUCUAAUGGAAAAGAAUGUCCAUGGCAAUUGACGAAACAUAAAUCAUAUAUGUAUAUAGAGUUUUGUAUUCCAAGAACAGAGAUGAAUUUGUGUACUUACAAACAUGGAGCUGUUAAAGUGUACAGUAAAAGCAAUAAGAAUAAUUCUUAUUAAAUACCAUGUAACCUAACGUCAAGUUGUACCUGUCCACAAUCACAUUAUUGGAGACUCAUUCAAGUGUAUCAAGAAAAGAAUGUGCAAUACCCAUAACACAGAUGCACUUGUCCAGAAAAUCAUUUGUGCAUUUAUAAAAAUAGAAGUAUGGAGAAUGUCCAAGAAUUGCUUUAUUCUGGUCCUGCUUACAAAGCUUACUGUCUUCCAUUUAAGAAAUUAUAGUAUGGAACAUAUACCUGUAAAGAUGGUUCACUCAUAGCUUUUAAAGUGGAUAAUAAUUCAACUUGAAAUCGAUCAGGCCAAGGAACUCGUGCAACGAAACCAGCCCUUAAUACCUCACUAACUGUUAAAGUUCUGCUACCCAAUACUAAUUCACUUGCCUAGAAUGCAUAACAUUUGGUGCUUAUAUCAUUAAGUAAUAAUAAUAAUAAUCUAUUACUCCUAUUGCGAUAUUAUUUAGUAUUAUUAGAUUUAUGUUUUACUAAAUAAUUGUACUACAUUUGAUAAAAUUA